ensembl:lncRNA
UACUGCAUUUAACAACAGCGUGGUCUCAAGACGGCUGCAUAGACCCACAACUAUCGACCUUUGGUUUUGUAUGUACUGGUCUUCAUAUAUCUUCAUAAUGGAUUGGUUUAGGUACAGAUGAUUAAGGAAAGGAACUUCAACUUGGUUGCACUACACCGUUGUUAGGAUUGGUUAAUUCUAAUGCGCAUGGCUGAAGCAAUGCGCAAGGAGGGAUGUAGUGAAUAUUAAAUCAAGGUUGAAGGUUGAAAUCAGCUCAGAAUAAGGAAUGGGACACUCAAAACAAAAAUUUAAAAUCCGCACAAGCACUAAAUAGAUCAAUUAUAAUACAAACAUGUUUGAAACGCAUACAAUUUUCAGGUCCUAUGUUUCCAGAAGCAAGGUGAGUACAGUGUAUCACUCUGACACAGCUAACUUUGCACCUAAUGCUUACGGUUAGAUUCAUGCUUACACUUACAUUUCUAGGGUCCCAUAAUGGACUUCCAUUAGAACAAUUAAAAAUAGAAUUAUAGGAAAUGUUUUUGAACAACUAACUGCUGUACAUGAGUUUGUAUUUCUACAAUAGAAACAAAAGUUCCAGAACCAGAUGCAGACACACCCGGAGCCGAUAAACUGCCUCCGCCGAGCAAGGAGCAGUCACAUGAGGAGAUCAAAUAACGGUUGGAUGGAGAAUAUGUUUGGGAGGUGGAAAAGCAUGAUCCAGUAAGUGCCCGUCGCGGGAAUAAAUGCAGAGACCGUGUUAAUUGUCACCGGCUGCCGUUGUAUUCCCUGCGCACGAGGGCUACUGCAUCUGCUGAUCCCCACAGCAGUGGGCGCUACAGAAGCGCCAAGUGCCAUUCAGGCUUACAUGGGGAUCAGAUAUGAUCCGAUGAAAGUGAAUGAUACAUCACCUGAGGGGCCCGACCAUAUCCAGCUGUAAUAUGUAGAAUAGUCAACACCUAUACUAUUCUAGUAGAAGCGCCUGUAUAUAAGAUAAUCAAUAUCCCGGAUUUACUUGAAUAACACAUUUCCAACAACCAUACCAGGCUGUUUGUUAUUGUAUUGUGUUGCGAAUGCAACCCGUUAUUUCUGAAUCGCU